rnacentral:rRNA from 1 species
AUACGUAGGGGGCGAGCGUUGUCCGGAAUGAUUGGGCGUAAAGGGCGCGUAGGCGGCCCGGUAAGUCUGGAGUGAAAGUCCUGUUUUUAAGAUGGGAAUUGCUUUGGAUACUGUCGGGUUGAGUGCAGGAGAGGUAAGUGGAAUUCCCAGUGUAGCGGUGAAAUGCGUAGAGAUUGGGAGGAACACCAGUGGCGAAGGCGACUUACUGGACUGUAACUGACGCUGAGGCGCGAAAGUGUGGGGAGCAAACAGGAUUAGAUACCCUGGUAGUCCACACUGUAAACGAUGAAUGCUAGGUGUAGGGGGUAUCGACCCCUUCUGUGCCGCAGUCAACACAAUAAGCAUUCCGCCUGGGGAGUACGGCCGCAAGGUUGAAACUCAAAUGAAUUGACGGGG